rnacentral:rRNA from 1 species
AUUGAACGCUGGCGGCAGGCCUAACGCAUGCAAGUCGAGCUGAUGAAGUGAUCUUUCUCCUUUAUUCAUCUGCGUACUGGUGAUUAAUUCCUAGUAAUCUGCCUGGUAUUGUUUGAUAACGUCCUUAAACUUUCUCUAAUACCUCAUACGUCCUGAGUUAUAAAUUUUUUGUUCUUCUUACCUCACGCUAUCAUAUUAUCCUAGGUCGUAUUAGCUAUUUGGUUUGGUAAAGUCCUACCAAGGCGACGAUCCGUAACUUGUCUGAGAGGAUGAUCAGUCACACUGGAAAUGAGACACGGUCCAGACUCAUACGGGAGGGAGCAGUGGGGAAUAUUGGACAAUGGGCGAAAGCAUGAUCCAGAAAUGACGCGUGUGUGAAGAAGGUAUUAGGAUUGUAAAGCACUUUAAGUUGGGAGGAAGGGAAGUAAGUUAAUAACUUGCUGUUUUGACGUUAACAACAGAAUAAGCAACGGCUAACUUCGUG